rnacentral:ncRNA from 1 species
CAGAGUAGAAGCUGACGCGUGAAGUGUUUUGCGGACGGGGAGUUGCCGCAAAAACGAAGGGAAAAGCCUGCGAUGUCGGUUUCGCAUCCCGCUG